rnacentral:rRNA from 1 species
UACGUAGGGGGCUAGCGUUACUCGGAUUUACUGGGCGUAAAGCGAAUGUAGGCGGUUGAAUAAGUCAGUGGUGAAAUCCCUCAGCUUAACUGAGGAAUUGCCAUUGAUACUGUUUGACUUGAGGACAGGAGAGGAAAGUGGAAUUCCCGGUGUAGCGGUGGAAUGCGUAGAUAUCGGGAGGAACACCAGAGGCGAAGGCGGCUUUCUGGACUGAUCCUGACGCUGAGAUUCGAAAGCUAGGGGAGCAAACAGGAUUAGAUACCCGCGUA